UUAAAUACAAAAAGGAAACAUCUCUCCUGCUCUCUCCUCUCCCAGCCCUCUCCUGAAUCGCCUCCCUCCGCUCCGCUCUUCUCUUUCACUCAUCUCUCUCGCACCUAUUACUCUUCUUCUUCGCUCAUCUCUCUUGCACCAACUGCUCUUCUGUCUCCCAUCUCCUGCUCCUUUCUGAAACCCUAAAUUGAUUAGGACAAUUAUUUGAGCAAAACCCUAAAACUGAUUAGAGUUUUAAUCGAUUCUGUUAAAGCUUUUAAUAGAGAGAAGAAGAAUUUACUCUAAUGGUUUGGCAAGCUAGUGUUUCUUCAUCUCAGGUUGCGAAAGAGGAUAAAUAUCAGAUUGUUAGAGCGGAAAAAUGGAGAUGCUGGUAGGAUAUUGUUAUUCUCUGUCCAUACACUGACAAUAAGUUCAUCUCUGUCUAUCAAUUUAAAAGUCCAAUUGGUUUUUAUUCAUUUGAAUUGUCCUAGUUUCUGCCAUGAUAUUUCAGUUUCUAUGCUUAUAUUGUCGUACACGUGCUAUUAUAAUCUGCUAGUAGUUUGUGUGUCAUAGUCAUAGUGUGUUUUCUGAACACUUGAACAGACUCUGUAGUUUUGUAUAUACUUGAACAGACUCUGUAGUUUCCGGGAAGCCAAAGGUAUGGUGCAGUUUGGACACGAGACAACAUCGCAGAAUGGGAGCAACUGAGAGUCUCGGUUCCAAUGAUUUUAAAACCUCAUCUUACUGGACUUGCAUCCUCAGGUUCAUACACUUUGUUUUAUCAGGGAAGAUCAGCCCCUCGCCCAGCUGCUCGUCGGGCACCUCCCCCAGCACCUGUUCGUCAAGCUCCUCCCCGUGCUCCUGCUUCAAGUGGUGGUGGUGGUGGAAUCUGCCAUAAGAGAGUUUUGAUCUUGAAAUGAAAAAGAAAAUGAAUCCUUUGAGAACUAAAGUUGGCGAUGACAUGCAUGAAUACCUUGAAAAAAAAAUCAUUUUCAUCCUGAUAAUAGCAGCUUAAGUGAGUCGGACAAUCUAGAUGCUACUGUUGGAGUUGUGGGAGAUGGGUUACAAGCAGUAGAAGCUCUAAAAAUUUUCCCUGUCCAGAUGACUAUCUAGAGGCAUCUUCCUCCCCGGAAAUGGCAGCAAUAACAAUCGAGUAGAAGGAUGUGGCCACGCAACAAAAGCGAUACGGAGAGUAUAGGUGGGCAGCAGUUCACUCAUCCCAUAAUUGCUCUACGCCCAUGCAAUUAAUGUCAUCAGAUGAAGCUAAGUGCUUGCAAGUUGGCAUGGAUUUAAGCUAAAUCCUGCAGAACCAUCAAAGGCCGAAGAACGUGCACAAGCCAUUAUGGAUCAUUUAUAAGAAAUUAUUAUAACUAUGACCUGCCUUGUAAAAAAAUGACAUAUUUUUUUUAUUUUUCAUUCUUUUAUUUCUUUCUUAUUUAAUUUUAGUAAAUUGUA